GUGUGUGUGUGUGUGUGUGUGUGUGUGUGUGUGAAAUUUGUCUGAUUUCUCACUGCCUGAUAGUUUUUAAAUCCACUUAAAACAGUAGUUUGCCUGACCAAUUGUUUGUGUGGUUUGCACUUCAGAUUUUCCACGGUGUCACUUGUCAAAGGUGCAUUUUACCAGUACAGCCGCAAUCCGUGAGAGGCACCGUCUUGAGUUUCCACAGGACAGUUCAAACAGGGUUUAUACAUCCUUGAGCAACGGGGCUGUCGUGCUGGUAGCUGUGUCCAGUUUUUGUUUUAACAUUAACCACCCUGGCUCGACGUCAUCCUCCGUGGUAAUCAGUUUGCGCUGAGAGGGAGUAGCAGGUUUGGGAUCUUGGAACUUGUGAAGUUAACGCAACUCUCCUUUUCGGGAAGGAAUAUUUUGGCUAAAGUUCCCAUCUCUGUGUUCCACACGAAGGAUCUGCGAUGAUUAAUAAUCGUUAUUAUUUUGUUAAUUUCUUGUGCUUUUCUGUUGCCUUAAUUUGUUGCCCCUUGAUAACGAUAAUGAAUGAAAAUACAAGCAACCGUUUAGAGAGAGUCGAUAACGAGCUGGAGCACUUGGCUUUGUUAGAAUGGAACGUAUCACCUCUCAAAGCCUUGCUUAUACCGCUCAGCGAAAGAAAGGGUGGGCAGUGUUCGUGGGGGCUAAGUUAAGCGAGUGCAAUGACAUGGUUCCUCCGUAUGGAGUUAGCAUUUUCUAUGCUAGGGAAGCAAGUUGUAGACUGAGGUGCGUGUGUGCUGAACAGAUUGGUUAAAACCCUUUGGGGUUCCCAGCCGAGUCUGGGAAGAACUAAAAUAAUUUCGUUCGCUUUAAUUUUUUUAACCGCCCCCCACCUUCCUUGUGGGGAAUUAAAAUUCAAACUUGACAAUAUAAGCGGAUAUAGAUGAUGAUCUGGGGUGUUUUUGCGAGCGCUUAACUGCAGAAUAGCUGCGGAUAAUGCCCUUGCCUUUUGCUUCCUUUGUAAUCGUUCUUCCGUGUGAAGUAGCUUUUUGCUGAAAAAUACAAUUGCAAGGCAUCGCAUCUCGCAGACACACUGAUAUUUGUCUGAUAUUUGCAUCGGUCUUCUUACUUUAAAAAUAAAGUAUAAUCUUUCCCUUCGGACUACUGAGACUGGUGUUGAAAGCUGCCACCCGCUUCUCGUAGCUAGGUGUCAUAACACCUUUAUUUAAUGCAGCCAAGAAGUCAAAAUAGCUGCUUUAAUUUUAUCUGCAACCACUCAUUUUAUUCUCCAGGGAGACUGUAUCAGAGCUCCGGGUUUAGCUGGGAAUUCGUUUACUUGGAUCAGACUGAAUGAGAAACUUUUUUUUAUUGUGUUUUAUCUAGGCUUAUUGCGCUAAACAUGUGUCCCUUUUUUCCUUGCAAAGCUAUUUCAUUACUUGUUUGGUUUUGUCAUUUAUCUGCAACCCCACUCCCCGGCAUUCUGUGAUCACUAACAAACACAGAGAACAGCUUAUGUUUAUGUCCUCCUCGCUCUUCCUUUUCAACUUAAAUUUAAAUGAGAGGGCUAGAUCAUCCUUUGCAUUUAAGGUAGUUUUUUUAAUGACCUCAUGUAUUAUAUAAAUAGUUUGGAGAUGAUUAUGGCAAAAUUAGCCACUCACAAACCAGCUACUGGGAUUUCAAUUUUUUUUUUUUACGGGAAUGUAUCAAAUUGUCAUCCCUCUGCUGAGAUUACAAGAGCAGGAAUAGCAUUUUAAAAUUUAUUGGCUAUAUACGCGUUUAUAUAUAUCUACCUACCUACCUAGAUGUCUCUCUAUAUAGCUCUAUUAUAUAUUUCAUCAUGUGUGUGGAUAUAUAUAGACAAAAUGAUUAUAUUAUAUAUACACAAUAUAAUAUAGACGUAUGUUCUUACACACAUUUUAUAUAUAAUUUGUAUCCCAAUUAAAAAUUCUGUAUUUCCCUUCAUACUUCCAUCCGUUUAGCUUUUGGACUAGCUUCAGUGUCGAUCCAAUAUUUCUGUAUUUGCUAUUUAUUGAAAAAUGUUUAUUAACAGAGGGUGUAAAGAGGCCCUAAGCAGCAGCACGUGGUUGGUAACAAUAGCAAUUGUUAAAAGCUAGCGAGAUAUAUUGCUUGUUUUUACCUAGGUUUCCAUCUAUUGGCUCCCCCCACCCACUCCCAUUGCAAACGCAUGCACAUGUGUAUACACAGAUACACAUAGAAACAGGGUGUACAGGUGAAGAUUAAUUGUACGUUCUACCGUUUACGUCUACACAGAACUCGUUUCAGAUUCAUCCUAGCAAGAAAGCGCCCUUGCUGGACAGGAAACAUUUUCUGCUCUAAAGCCGAAUCUCAGCAGUCAUUAAAGGUUAAGCCAAACGGCUCCUCUCUCUUUUCACUCUUUCGAGUUUGGUUCCUUGAGGAAAAAGCCAGGGACCCCAGCCUCCCUUUUCACCGGAGAUUUUAACUAAAUAAUCAUUUACUUCCACCCUGCUUUUUCGGGGGGUGUCUCUGUCCUGAAACGUAUGCUCACCCCCCCCCCCGCCUGAUCCUGGAGCCAUUUCAAAGGUGUUAUUCAAGCAAAAUAAAACUGGCUGCAAAUUAGAUCCAUGCUGCAUACCCUCUAAGCAGCGUUAACGCCUCACUUUCACAGUUUGCCAUUGAGCUACGGAGGCACCGCGAUGAAGGGUUUUCUACAGACUGGCCAUAGGGAUGACCUAGCAAUACGUGUGAAGGGAGGACUGUGGUGCGCUGUUUAUUUUUCACAGUGUCUGUUUUGUACUUGACCAACCACAAUAAAAUCGCCAUCUCAA